rnacentral:lncRNA from 10 species
UCUGUCUGCGUGGGUCCUGGAGAGAGGAGGAUGCAGAGCACAGCACUUAGCCAACCUGCAAUGGACACGUAGAAUCCUCCUUACUGUCUUGUGUUCAAUGCUGAAGACCUGGUGUCCAUGCCUAACAUAACCUGAAGGUGCCUCUUGAAUGGAUCACAUUUGGCUUUCCUUAUGUCCUUGCUCACUAUCAUGGCUACCACGAGAGCCAAGGCAACCC